CUAACAUCCAAAUUAUUCUCGGCUUCCUGAAACACUCCCUAUCAUAAAGAGUGAUUCAAGAGUGUGCGUUUGUGAAAUACGUCUUGCCCUUUACUUAAGAGGCAGUGACUUGGAGAAGCAGAUAUUUAGAGGAAGUCCAUUUGCUUGACAAAAACAUCUAUUACUUUUAUCACCAUUGGAGACCGAAAAAGAAUCAAUUACAAUACUUCACUUGGGAAUGACUAAUUGAAUUGUGAAACAUACUGAUGUUCUGAAGUCACCGAGGAAAAGCACAUGGUUCAUCACUGAAGGAGCUCCAGGAAGGAAG
rnacentral:lncRNA from 1 species